AUCCUGCUUGUUGUUGCCUUUGAACGUUCUUGAGUGACAGACGUCUCAUGACCUCGCGAUUUACUUAGGCAUGUAUGAUAAAGCGAGAAAUUUGGCUACAUCAAACUCUAUUCUUCUUAAAAAAAAAACAUCUACCAAAACUUAAUCAGUACUUAUACUAUUUCUUCAUAAUAAAAUAUUUAGAGGAUCAUAUAUUAUAACAAUGAUUCGGACAACACACGAAACGAUGAGUUUUAAAAUAAACUUGUUAUUCAUGCUUGUUACCUUCAGCACGCUUAGCAUGGUAUACCUGCGUCCAUCAAAAAGAUCCAAUUUAGAACCUCUUUCUUGUGUUAAUCAUAAGAAGGAUGGUGUAUGCUGCAAUGCGGAUGAUUGCGAACUGCAGUUGAGAUAUUGGUAUAAUACGAGUACGAAAGAAUGUGAACCUUUUUUUUACCGUGGUUGUGAAGGAAAUCGAAAUAAUUAUCAUACGUAUAAAAUAUGUACGCUAUAUUGUCAGGGAGAUCCAAUAUAGUAGAUGCACCUUUGAUAUAAAAUUUGAAAAAAGUUUUGGUUAAGAAUUUCCCAUAUAUUGAUAUAUAUUUAUAAUAGUUUAAAUUUGACUUUAAAUGGAAAUACUAAAUGAAAGAUUCUGUCAAGUUUUUAUAAAAUGCUUGUAAAAGUGUUCUAUUUUUACAAUAAAUGACUGUAAUA